AUAAUGAUACUCCCGCCCAGCCACAGCUUAUCACGCAAUGGGGGCGGUUGCAUGAGAACCAUGCAAGGGGGCAACAUAACCCCGUGG
rfam:Christensenella minuta strain DSM 22607 genomic scaffold Scaffold41, whole genome shotgun sequence.